UUCGGGUUUAGUGGCGCACGGGUGCGUAACGCGUGGGAAUCUGCCCCUUGGUUCGGAAUAACAGUUGGAAACGACUGCUAAUACCGGAUGAUGACGUAAGUCCAAAGAUUUAUCGCCGAGGGAUGAGCCCGCGUAGGAUUAGGUAGUUGGUGUGGUAAAGGCGCACCAAGCCGACGAUCCUUAGCUGGUCUGAGAGGAUGAUCAGCCACACUGGGACUGAGACACGGCCCAGACUCCUACGGGAGGCAGCAGUGGGGAAUAUUGGACAAUGGGCGAAAGCCUGAUCCAGCAAUGCCGCGUGAGUGAUGAAGGCCUUAGGGUUGUAAAGCUCUUUUACCCGGGAUGAUAAUGACAGUACCGGGAGAAUAAGCUCCGGCUAACUCCGUGCCAGCAGCCGCGGUAAUACGGAGGGAGCUAGCGUUAUUCGGAAUUACUGGGCGUAAAGCGCACGUAGGCGGCUUUGUAAGUAAGAGGUGAAAGCCCAGAGCUCAACUCUGGAAUUGCCUUUUAGACUGCAUCGCUUGAAUCAUGGAGAGGUCAGUGGAAUUCCGAGUGUAGAGGUGAAAUUCGUAGAUAUUCGGAAGAACACCAGUGGCGAAGGCGGCUGACUGGACAUGUAUUGACGCUGAG
rnacentral:rRNA from 1 species